AAUGUUGCCUCGGGGUGGCCAAAGGCCUGAGAUACCUCUUUAAAAAGAGAGAACCCGAUGAACCUGAUCCAGAUAACACUGGCGUAGGGACAGGCUAAAACACCGACU
rnacentral:ncRNA from 2 species